GUUGAUGGAUCUUUCCUGUGCAUGCUGGCAUCCAGGUCGGCAACGCGUGCUGGGAACUUUACUGCCUCGAGCACGGCAUCCAGCCUGAUGGCCAGACGAACGGUGACAAGACCAUCCGGUGAUUCGCUGCUUGCAAACAACAGCUAGUAAAUCGGUCACCGUGGGAGCGGGGACAUGAGAUUCAGAGAAGAGAUGCUGCUGCCUGCCUAUACUAGUUCAUAUGCUCGUCCCUGGACCAGAUGUUCAAGUACAGCCCCAUCCACCACAUCGACCUGGAGUCAGAUGCUGGGCUUUCAUGUUUCUUCGUGAGCAUCAGUACAAAGAAGUCGGAGGAAGAAUAGUUCUAGCUCAUUGGAGCUAGUUCUGAGAGUAAUGGAGUCCUUUAUGCUGCUCCUAUUUGUAUGUGUGUUAUAUGAUGUAGCAGAAUCUGGCUCAUGUGAUUGUACACUUGUGGAGCUUGUUAUCUGAUUGUAAACUUGAUGCUGAUCACAUUUGUAUGUGUGUUAUAUGAUGUAGCACUUUGAUGGUUGAUAA